AACGUAGGUGGCGAGCGUUAUCCGGAUUCAUUGGGCGUAAAGAGCUUGUAGGCGGCGUCAUAAGUUGGACGUGAAAACUCCGGGCUUAACUUGGAGAGGCCGUUCAAUACUGUGAGGCUAGAGGGUGUCAGAGGGAAGUAGAAUUCCUGGUGUAGCAGUGAAAUGCGUAGAUAUCAGGAGGAAUACCCGUGGCGAAGGCGGCUUCCUGGGGCACCACUGACGCUGAGAAGCGAAAGCUAGGGGAGCAAACGGGG
rnacentral:rRNA from 1 species